rnacentral:rRNA from 1 species
CCUACGGGGGGCAGCAGUGAAGAAUAUUGGUCAAUGGCCGGAAGGCUGAACCAGCCAAGCCGCGUGAAGGACGAAGGUGCCAAGCAUUGUAAACUUCUUUUGUCAAGGGACAAAAUCAGGCUCGAGAGCCUGACCGAGGGUACUUGAAGAAAAAGCAUCGGCUAACUCCGUGCCAGCAGCCGCGGUAAUACGGAGGAUGCGAGCGUUAUCCGGAUUUACUGGGUGUAAAGGGAGCGUAGACGGCUGGCCAAGUCUGAAGUGAAAGCCCGGGGCUUAACCCCGGAACGGCUUUGGAAACUGGCCGGCUGGAGUGCUGGAGAGGCAGGCGGAAUUCCUGGUGUAGCGGUGAAAUGCGUAGAUAUCAGGAGGAACACCGGUGGCGAAGGCGGCCUGCUGGACAGUAACUGACGUUGAGGCUCGAAAGCGUGGGGAGCAAACAGGAUUAGAUACCCCAGUAGUC